rnacentral:rRNA from 1 species
ACCCMGGCCCUAUGGGGCGCAGCAGGCGAGAAAACUUUGCAAUGUGCGAAAGCACGACAAGGUUAAUCCGAGUGGUUUCUGCUAAAGAAACCUUUUGCUAGUCCUAGAAACACUAGUGAAUAAGGGGUGGGCAAGUUCUGGUGUCAGCCGCCGCGGUAAAACCAGCACCUCAAGUGGUCAGGAUGAUUAUUGGGCCUAAAGCAUCCGUAGCUCGUUUUGUAAGUUUUCGGUUAAAUCCAUACGCUUAACGUAUGGGCUGCCGGGAAUACUGCAUAACUAGGAAGUGGGAGAGGUAGACGGUACUCGGUAGGAAGGGGUAAAAUCCUUUGAUCUAUUGAUGACCACCUGUGGCGAAGGCGGUCUACCAGAACACGUUCGACGGUGAGGGAUGAAAGCUGGGGGAGCAAACCGGAUUAGAUACCCGGGUAGUCCCAGCUGUAAACUAUGCAAACUCAGUGAUGCAUUGGCUUGUGGCCAAUGCAGUGCUGCAGGGAAGCCGUUAAGUUUGCCGCCUGGGAAGUACGUACGCAAGUAUGAAACUUAA